rnacentral:rRNA from 1 species
GACGAACGCUGGCGGCGUGCCUAAUACAUGCAAGUAGAACGCUGAAGCGAGGAGCUUGCUCUUCUUGGAUGAGUUGCGAACGGGUGAGUAACGCGUAGGUAACCUGCCUUGUAGCGGGGGAUAACUAUUGGAAACGAUAGCUAAUACCGCAUAACAAUGGAUGACACAUGUCAUUUAUUUGAAAGGGGCAAUUGCUCCACUACAAGAUGGACCUGCGUUGUAUUAGCUAGUAGGUGAGGUAAUGGCUCACCUAGGCGACGAUACAUAGCCGACCUGAGAGGGUGAUCGGCCACACUGGGACUGAGACACGGCCCAGACUCCUACGGGAGGCAGCAGUAGGGAAUCUUCGGCAAUGGGGGCAACCCUGACCGAGCAACGCCGCGUGAGGGAAGAAGGGUUUCGGAUCGUAAAGCUCGGUUGUAAGUCAAGAACGGGUGUGAGAGUGGAAAGUUCACACUGUGACGGUAGCUUACCAGAAAGGGACGGCUAACUACGUG